rnacentral:rRNA from 1 species
UACGUAGGGGGCAAGCGUUGUCCGGAAUUACUGGGCGUAAAGGGUUCGUAGGUGGCCCGCUAAGUCAGACGUGAAAUCCCUCAGCUCAACUGGGGAACUGCGUCUGAUACUGGUGGGCUUGAGUGCAGGAGAGGAACGCGGAAUUCCAGGUGUAGCGGUGAAAUGCGUAGAUAUCGGGAAGAACACCAGUGGCGAAAGCGCUCUACUGGGCCAUAACUGACACUGAGGGACGAAAGCUAGGGGAGCGAAAGGG